rnacentral:pre_miRNA from 1 species
AAUAUUUGAAUCCAUGUACCUAAGAACUCAAUGUUGUGACUGUUGGUCUUAUUGAAAAAAAAAUGUGAUUAAUAUUUUUAUUGCUAUUAGAUGAUAAAACAUGAAUAAUAUUUUACGUGUGACCUUUAUUUUUAAUUUUUUUAUAAAUUUUCAAAUAAGACGUCAAACGUGGGACACAGAUACCUACGGCUUUCACUUAUC